AGGGUGGUGAGAAUCAGGGGUAAUAGAAGUGCCAAAUUUACGCCUAAUCUCAGCUUCAAGCACACGGCCUGGUCUAGUAUUCAGACCAGGGAGGAGUAUGGAUGUAGAAAUCACAUUGUGUUGAGAUCUGGCGAGGCGACGUUGGAGACAGUCGAAGAGGCGAUCUUCAGAUUUAGAUUCUCCGCAAAGAAGAUUGCCGGCCGGUAGAGGUGGAGCGAGGUGCAGCGAGCGACGAGUACAAAGGGAGGCGAAGAAGACAACCACGGCGGCGGUGCGGCGUCACCUCUCCCCCGCGGCGGGAUCCUUCCGAGGGGACAGGGAACGUACAAGCGGCGAGUACGGAGAGGGGUUUAUAAACGUGGUUAAAGUAGUGGAGGCUAACUGGAUGUUCCCGUAGUGCAAACAGUGCCAAAGGGCCUUGCUGUCAGAAUAUCAAUGGUCUUAUAAUAAAUCAUUUUAACUAAACAGGUAAGGUUAUUGCCCCCAUGUUUCAUUUGAGAGUUUGCUGGUUUACUGAUAUUUACUUUUGUCUCAACCUAGAUACCUUUCCAGCACUUCAGUUAAUCCUGAUAUACAUGAAACUAAAGAAGAAUAAAUCUAACCUCAGAUAACCCAGCAGCAAGGCAAACACGAUGGUUGUCUUGACUCUUGACCAAAAUCAUGAGCAUAAAUGGACAACACUAGUUCCACUAUGUUGUGUAAAAAAGCAAUGGGCUCCAUUACCACACAUCUGAAAGCCAAAAAUAAAUAAUUGAUCAACAUAUAGCUAGUGCACUGAAUCAUUUCUGAUUGUCCACAGGAAAAAAAAAGUCUACUACUAAAAGCCUCACGCGUAAUCGUCCACACUGGGUCAGCAUACUACUAAAAGACAGAUGAUUCUUCACUCUACUUGAAAGUUGGUAGAGCAAAAAGGAAUCUGCACAUCUGAAAUAGAAAAAGGAACAGUAAAAAUUUGCUUGCAUAUGCAGUUUCAAAUGUAUAAAUCUCAUAAGCACACAUUUUUCAAGUAGGGAAAUGACUCAUAAUUACCCACAACUUUUGCGUACAUUUUCCAUAUCUGAAGUCAUUUUGAUCUUUGGCUGCAACUAAAAUUCAGAAACUACCACAAAUGCAGAAAGGAACCUUAGCAAAGUCAAAUAGUUAAUCCAAGUUUGUAAAAUUUCUCUGACCUGUGUUUUGGCACCUGACACUAAAAUUUCUUAUGUAAAAUAAAGAACUUCACUUAUGUAAAAUAAAGAUCUUUUGAGUAGCACAUAAGGACAAUACCAUGUAACCAUACAUAUUGCCAUAUUGGUGGUUGGAAUAUAGGCAUAUAGCCCAGCUUAUGAAAAAAACAUCCCUUCUCAGCCAAGAAAUAGGGUUGCACCUCAAGAAAAAAAAGGCUACUAUUGAUGGCUGUAAAGUGGUGUUUCAAAAUUGCUUCAAACCUGAUUGCAUGCCACGCGCAACACAACCAUGACCACAGUUGAACUUUGUUAAGGAUGUCGGGACCUAGGGUAGAUGGCCCUCGGCUACAGAGCUCGUAGCCUUGUUCCGUCGUCGCCGGCGAGGUUUUGCCCCUCUGCCGUCGGUUUGUUUGGAGAAGAGAGAGAAUAAUAGAUUGAUAAUAUAUUGCUUAAUUCUAACAUGUCCCGUGAUUACAAAAUAAAUUGUCCAUGGCUAAAAACUGAAAAUAACAAACUUAAGGAAACAAACUCCUAGAGUUAAUCGUAGCCACUAAUCGCGCCUGCCUCCUGGGACGCGCUGAUCGUGCCCAGGCUGUUAGCCGCGCACUGGGACGCCCUGAUCGCGCC